UACAGAGGGUGCGAGCGUUGUUCGGAAUUAUUGGGCGUAAAGGGCGCGUAGGCGGUGCGGUAAGUCACCUGUGAAAUCUCCUGGCUCAACUGGGAGCUUGCAGGCGAAACUGCCGUGCUGGAGUGUGGGAGAGGUGCGUGGAAUUCCCGGUGUAGCGGUGAAAUGCGUAGAUAUCAGGAGGAACACCUGUGGCGAAAGCGGCGCACUGGACCACAACUGACGCUGAGGCGCGACAGCGUGGGGAGCAAACAGG
rnacentral:rRNA from 1 species